rnacentral:rRNA from 1 species
UUGUAGUGUAUUGGACUACCAUGGCGGUCACGGGUAACGGGGAAUUAGGGUUCGAUUCCGGAGAGGGAGCCUGAGAAAUGGCUACCACUUCUAAGGAAGGCAGCAGGCGCGUAAAUUACCCAAUCCUGAUUCAGGGAGGUAGUGACAAGAAAUAACAACUCGGGUCCCUCUGGGACUGCGAGAUUGCAAUGAGAACAAUUUAAACCACUUAUCCAGGAACAAUUGGAGGGCAAGUCUGGUGCCAGCAGCCGCGGUAAUUCCAGCUCCAAUAGCGUAUAUUAAAGUUGUUGCAGUUAAAAAGCUCGUAGUUGAAUUUCUGGCCAAUUCUACACUGUGCAGCUUGCCGGUGCCGAGUUUGGUCAUCCGUAAGGGAAGCUAGUUCGGCCUUCACUGGUCGGCUAGGGGAACUUACAAUUUACUGUGAAAAAAUUAGAGUGUUUCAGGCAGGCAAUCGCUUGGAUACUCCAGCAUGGAAUAAUGGAAUAGGACUUUGGUCUAUUUAUUGGUUUGAGAUCAAAGUAAUGAUUAAUAGGGACAGUUGGGGGCAUUCGUAUUUAAUUGUCAGAGGUGAAAUUCUUGGAUUUAUUAAAGACGGACUUAUGCGAAAGCAUUUGCCAAGGAUGUUUUC